AUUGAACGCUGGCGGCAUGCCUUACACAUGCAAGUCGAACGGUAACGCGGGGCAACCUGGCGACGAGUGGCGAACGGGUGAGUAAUGUAUCGGAACGUGCCCAGUUGUGGGGGAUAACUGCUCGAAAGAGCAGCUAAUACCGCAUACAACCUGAGGGUGAAAGCGGGGGAUCGCAAGACCUCGCGCAAUUGGAGCGGCCGAUAUCUGAUUAGGUAGUUGGUGGGGUAAAGGCUCACCAAGCCGACGAUCUGUAGCUGGUCUGAGAGGACGACCAGCCACACUGGGACUGAGACACGGCCCAGACGCCUACGGGAGGCAGCAGUGGGGAAUUUUGGACAAUGGACGCAAGUCUGAUCCAGCCAUGCCGCGUGCGGGAAGAAGGCCUUCGGGUUGUAAACCGCUUUUGUCAGGGAAGAAAAGGCUCCUUCUAAUAUAGGGGGCUCAUGACGGUACCUGAAGAAUAAGCACCGGCUAACUACGUGCCAGCAGCCGCCGCAG
rnacentral:rRNA from 1 species